CGGACCUGGAAAGGAAAGCCAAAAAGGGGGAGGUGGACAUGUUGGAGGAACUGGACAUGGAGGAAAGAGUUAAUUUCCUUCAGGAGCACACAUCACUCCAAGUAUGAGAUAAGCCAGCUGCUAUGGCAAUGGACUUGUACCAUAAGUGAUUAAGGCAUGUUAGCUCAGUACAGUGUCAGUGAGUCUGUCCAUGAGUCGGAGUCCGUUUUACAUCUUUAAGCUCCAGCAAUAGAGAUAAUUUGUGCUUGUAUAUCUGUAUCUGCAAAGCCUACAAGCUGUAUGUAUACAUCAAUGUUUGGAACUGUAUUGCUGAAGCCUUAUCCUCUACAGCAGUAAACUAUUUUGGACCUUAA